CCAAACAGAACUCAACUGAAAAAAACAGACCUUUUAAAAAAAGCAAUAGAUCUUAAUUUGGUGGCAAGAUCCCUGGUUUACCUUUUGAAGUCAAAUGUUCAAUACAUCACCCGAGCUUGACUUUUGAGCACUUGGCAAGAUUGUUUUUUGCCACUUGACACAAGUAUGACGUCCAGCUAUGCAAAAUUACUGUUUGAUCUGCCUUUUCAGUGUAUUUGUGUGGCGAUGUCUGUAAAAUGCCAGAAGCCUCUCAUGUUAUUGCUGCUGCUGCUACCAGCCAGCAACUGCAGAGACCAUGCUGAGGUGCCUCCUUGCUACCAGCCGUUGGGAAAUGCCUACUAUGCUGCCCUGGACGCACAAGCUCAAAACGCUGCGGAAGUUACACAACUGUUCCAUAAUCUGGACUCUCCAAAACUGUGAUGCCACGAAGGAAGGUCAAGUUGUAAAAUGUUAAGACUGCCUGCCUCUGUUCCUGAGACUAAACACUAUACAUACUAACUACAUUGACAAAUCCUAUCUGAUAAUGUAGCCCGCUGACAAAUUUUGAAGCCUCGGUUACCCUAACCAAUAUGUAGCUUUUAAUUUGCAUCAAAACUUUUACAAAGAUGUUUUGCUAUUGUUUCUAUAAACUUCAAGAAUGUUCAUUUUUACAAAUAAGUUGAACAAGACAGCCUAAGUUAGAUGCACCGAAGUACUAGAAAUAUUGCUAGCCUCUGUUCUCCAGUUUAGCUUUCAAAACCAAAUGAGCCAUGUAUAAAAGAGUUGAGAAACUUAAUUUUUUAAUGUUUCAUUUGCAGAGUUUUAUAUCCAUUAAGUGCCUUUGAAAGUUUCCAGUUGUGUGGGCUGCUGUCUCACCUCCCACCAAUUUCUCCUUUCUCCAUAUGGUGCUAAAACUUCAAAGCUGAGGAGGGCUGCAGGACUCUUAGCAGAUUCAGCGUGUCACCCUUGUCCUGUGUUCACGCCAAGGCUUCCUAAAUGAAAGACAUCGGUUACCUGCUUAUGGGAAGACUCUUCAUGCUGAUCGGAUCUUGCACUGAAAUAACCAUGUGGAAGAACAAUGAAUUGAUUAAUGAUGACAUGUACAACCAUAUUUAAAGAGCAAUAGUGUCCGUGUGUCAUGGAAAAACUUAUUUGUAAACGUUUAUAUGGUAUGAUUUUAUGUAUGUUCAUAAAUCCUGCACCGUAUGAUAUAUGUUAAAAUAUUGGCGCAUGAAUUUAUUUUCAAAGUAUAAAACACGUCACUUAAACAUUUUAUGUGUCAAAUAAAAUUUGAUUAUGUAAACAAACAUUUGUUGACUUUUGUUUCCACAGUAAACAGCUGCACCAUCAGCCUGAAAAAACCUUUCAAAAAGCACAAGCUACCAUUCACUGGUUGAAGCAAAGUUUACCCACUGUGUGCAUUUUUAAUCUGCUGCAAUUUCAUGAAAUGAAAAUACCAAAGCACAUUUUAAGUCUAUAAGCUUUAUUGAUACUUUGCUUUUACAGUUCACAAUGCAUUCCACAGAUUUAGUUCAGUACAGCUUAAACCACAAUGGUAUAAAUCUUCAUUUUGUAAUUUCUUGCAUAACAAUGUUUCAUAUUUGCAAACAACAUUUUUGGAAGCAUUAGAUUCAGUCCAUAGAUUGAGUUUGUGACAAAAUUAACUACAGUAAGUCUGUGCAAUGAAAUUUAUGUUGGAGUUCUAUGUGUGUGGCACUUCAUGUUGAAAACAGAUGGUAGUGCUCCUAGAAAUAUAUCUUCUUUUUCUAGCUUACGUGCUUUGGAACUACACAUGUAUAACCAAUGAUCUGAAAUAUCAAGCACUGUGGGAUGGCUGGAAGGUAAAGGUCUAAGCUUUGUGAAACACUAUAUAUAUAUAAUCUAUAUUUACUUAUACUGGCAAUUAAUAUAACAGUAAAA